rnacentral:rRNA from 1 species
UACGUAGGGUCCAAGCGUUAUCCGGAAUUACUGGGCGUAAAGCGUGCGCAGGCGGUUCUAUAAGACAGAUGUGAAAUCCCCGGGCUCAACCUGGGAACUGCAUUUGUGACUGUAGAGCUGGAGUACGGUAGAGGGGGAUGGAAUUCCGCGUGUAGCAGUGAAAUGCGUAGAUAUGCGGAGGAACACCGAUGGCGAAGGCAAUCCCCUGGACCUGUACUGACGCUCAUGCACGAAAGCGUGGGGAGCAAACAGG